rfam:Triticum urartu cultivar G1812 contig776161, whole genome shotgun sequence.
GGCCCGAUGCCACGGUUCCUGUGGCCACAAGUCUUGACCGGAGAUGCUACAUUGUGCCAACAAUGAGUUUUAGGACAUCUCACAUUUGAUACGAACCUGUGACUGUGAUUCAGUCGGCACGCAGAGCUGUUUUUUUGUGAUUACACCU